GAAAAAUAGAGGAAAACAAAAUGAGCCGAGAGAGACACAGAGAGACGAGAGUUUGCAGAGAGAAGCUGCGAGGUUGCAGAGGAGGCCGGGAGCUUGAGGCUUUGAUGAUCUAGUGAGGAAAAUUCCUUUUCCAAGGAAUCAAAGGAAGGUACAGGAGUUAAUAUAUCAAACAUCACUAUGACUUUCCAUGCUGAAGUAUAUGGACUCUUCUAAAGUAUGGAAAUGCAAGAGCUUCACCUCAAGUCACUCCUAAUAUUCAACCAAUAGAAAAUUUAGAAGGAUCAAAAUGUGAAUUAUUACAUUGGAGUGAACCAAAUGUAGUUGUUAUUGAAGUUAUCGAUUCUACGAACAAAAAAUCAUGUGUGGAUGGUAUUCCUAUUAGAACCGAAUGUUGGAAAAUCUGGGUCAAGGUUGUAUUUGAUACUGAUGUGACCUUAUAUAGGGCGUGCAAAUAUUACUUGUACCUUCUACAAGCUAAGGGAGAAUAGUUUCAUGGCCCGCCAAGUUGGUUAGAAGAACUUAGUUUCAAAGGUAAUGGUUUUAUAUUAAAUAUAAAUGUGUUGAUUUAUACAUUUAUAAAUGCAUAUAAUUAUAUUUUUUUAUGUAUAAGAGUUUGAACCUUUGUCCCCAUUUUCAUCUUCCUCUCUUUCGCCUACUUCUUCAAGGCAUUAAUGUGACAAUUUAAUGUAAUAACUUGUCUUCUUUCUUCCAUUUUUUUUUUUUUUUUUUUUUUUUUGGCAGAGUGUGAUUGUAGGAUCAAUUUUUGCCAUAUAUGUUAUGUUCUUAUAUAUGGUAAUGUAACAUAAUGUGAGGAUUCUUUUUUCACAUUGGAGACAUGUAUAAUUUGUGAUAUUGAACCA